rnacentral:rRNA from 1 species
AGUGGCGGACGGGUGAGUAACGCGUGAGAAUCUGCCUUGGGGUCGGGGACAACCACUGGAAACGGUGGCUAAUACCGGAUAAGCCGAUUGGUGAAAGAUUUAUUGCCCGAAGAGGAGCUCGCGUCUGAUUAGCUAGUUGGUGAGGUAGGAGCUCACCAAGGCAGCGAUCAGUAGCUGGUCUGAGAGGACGAUCAGCCACACUGGGACUGAGACACGGCCCAGACUCCUACGGGAGGCAGCAGUGGGGAAUUUUCCGCAAUGGGCGAAAGCCUGACGGAGCAAGACCGCGUGAGGGAGGAAGGCUCUUGGGUUGUAAACCUCUUUUCUCAGGGAAGAAGCUCUGACGGUACCUGAGGAAUCAGCCUCGGCUAACUCCGUGCCAGCAGCCGCGGUAAUACGGAGGAGGCAAGCGUUAUCCGGAAUUAUUGGGCGUAAAGCGUCCGCAGGUGGCGAUUCAAGUCUGCUGUCAAAGCACGGGGCUUAACUCCGUAAAGGCAGUGGAAACUGAAUAGCUAGAGUGCCGUAGGGGUAGAGGGAAUUCCCGGUGUAGCGGUGAAAUGCGUAGAGAUCGGGAAGAACAUCGGUGGCGAAAGCGCUCUACUGGACGGCAACUGACACUCAGGGACGAAAGCUAGGGGAGCGAAUGGGAUUAGAUACCCC